rnacentral:rRNA from 1 species
AUUGAACGCUGGCGGCAGGCCUAACACAUGCAAGUCGAGCGGAUGAAGGGAGCUUGCUCCUGGAUUCAGCGGCGGAUGGGUGAGUAAUGCCUAGGAAUCUGCCUGGUAGUGGGGGAUAACGUCCGGAAACGGGCGCUAAUACCGCAUACGUCCUGAGGGAGAAAGUGGGGGAUCUCCGGACCUCACGCUAUCAGAUGAGCCUAGGUCGGAUUAGCUAGUUGGUGGGGUAAAGGCCUACCAAGGCGACGAUCCGUAACUGGUCUGAGAGGAUGAUCAGUCACACUGGAACUGAGACACGGUCCAGACUCCUACGGGAGGCAGCAGUGGGGAAUAUUGGACAAUGGGCGAAAGCCUGAUCCAGCCAUGCCGCGUGUGUGAAGAAGGUCUUCGGAUUGUAAAGCACUUUAAGUUGGGAGGAAGGGCAGUAAGUUAAUACCUUGCUGUUUUGACGUUACCAACAGAAUAAGCACCGGCUAACUUCGUG